rnacentral:rRNA from 1 species
GGAGUUUGGGCCGUGUCUCAGUCCCAAUGUGGCCGGUCGCCCUCUCAGGCCGGCUAUGGAUCGUCGGUUUGGUGGGCCGUUACCCCGCCAACUGCCUAAUCCAACGCGGAGCCAUCCCAUACCACCGGAGUUUUUCACACUGUACCAUGCGGUACUGUGCGCUUAUGCGGUAUUAGCAGUCAUUUCUGGAUGUUGUCCCCGUCUGAAGGGCAGGUUGCCUACGCGUUACUCACCCGUUCGCCACUAGGGUUCUACCGAAGCAAAACCCCCGUUCGACUUGCAUGUGUUAGGCACGCCGCCAGCGUC